GCUUUCUUCUGGGAUAGCUCAGUUAGUAGAGCAUAAGACUCUUAAUCUCAGGGUUGAAGGUUUGAACCCUACACUGGGCA